UAAUACGUAGGUGGCAAGCGUUGUCCGGAUUUAUUGGGUUUAAAGGGUGCGUAGGCGGCCCUAUAAGUCAGUGCUGAAAUAUCCCGGCUUAACCGGGAGGGUGGCAUUGAUACUGUAGGGCUUGAGUGUAGUCGAGGUAGGCGGAAUUGACGGUGUAGCGGUGAAAUGCUUAGAUAUCGUCAAGAACACCGAUAGUGUAGACAGCUUACUAGGCUACAACUGACGCUGAGGCACGAAAGUGUGGGGAUCAAACAGGAUUAGAUACCCUGGUAGUCCACACUGUAAACGUUGAUUACUCGAUGUUGGCGAUACACAGUCAGCGUCUUAGCGCAAGCGAUAAGUAAUCCACCUGGGGAGUACGCCGGCAACGGUG
rnacentral:rRNA from 1 species